rnacentral:rRNA from 1 species
GACGAACGCUGGCGGCGUGCUUAACACAUGCAAGUCGAACGGAAAGGCCCUGCUUUUGUGGGGUGCUCGAGUGGCGAACGGGUGAGUAACACGUGAGUAACCUGCCCUUGACUUUGGGAUAACUUCAGGAAACUGGGGCUAAUACCGGAUAGGAGCUCCUGCUGCAUGGUGGGGGUUGGAAAGUUUCGGCGGUUGGGGCUGGACUCGCGGCUUAUCAGCUUGUUGGUGGGGUAGUGGCUUACCAAGGCUUUGACGGGUAGCCGGCCUGAGAGGGUGACCGGCCACAUUGGGACUGAGAUACGGCCCAGACUCCUACGGGAGGCAGCGGUGGGGAAUAUUGCAGAAUGGGCGGAAGCCUGAUGCAGCAACGCCGCGUGCGGGAUGACGGCCUUCGGGUUGUAAACCGCUUUCGCCUGUGACGAAGCGGGAGUGACGGUAAUGGGUAAAGAAGCACCGGCUAACUACGUG